rnacentral:rRNA from 1 species
AUUGAACGCUGGCGGCAGGCCUAACACAUGCAAGUCGAACGAGUGGCGGACGGGUGAGUAAUGUCUGGGAAACUGCGCGAUGGAGGGGGAUAACUACUGGAAACGGUAGCUAAUACCGCAUACCAUCGGAUGUGCCCAGAUAGGAUUAGCUAGUAGGUGGGGUAAUGGCUCACCUAGGCGACGAUUCCUAGCUGGUCUGAGAGGAUGACCAGCCAAACUGGAACGGAGACACGGGCCAGACUACUACGGGAGGCAGCAGUGGGGAAUAUUGCACAAUGGGCGCAAGCCAGAUGCAGCCAUGCCGCGUGUAUGAAGAAGGCCUUCGGGUUGUAAAGUACUUUCAGCGAGGAGGCGUUACUCGAAGAAGAAGCACCGGCUAACUCCGUGCCAGCCGCCGCGGUAAUAC